UGGUUCUCGUCAGUCAGUGUGGUAAUAAAACCCGAGAUGACGCCUCCUCCUACCUUCAGCCAGGUGAAGUUCAUAUUCUAUCAUAUAAAAACACACACUAACGCUAAAUAUUAGACUACUGUAUCAGUUGCGGUUACUGAAUAGACAGUUUACUUUCUAAUAAACGUGAAACCGGUCAAACUAGCGUCGCAUCAACCGUUUAGUAGUAAGUUAACAUAAACAACAGAGAGAGCUAACUAGCUAGCUAACGUUAGCUUGAUGCUAACGACCGUUAAACAGUAAAGUGACGUCACAGAGAUGAACUACAGACAUGGAGGUGAUGACCACUUCAUGAAGGACAAGAGACACUUCAGAGUCUAAUAACGAACUCACAAAGAUUGUGACAAGCCGUAAACUCCAGGCUCAAGAAAAUACCUUCACAACUAUAAAGGUUCUCUGGGAGAUUCAUAAAGAUGACUCAUAACGGCGCAGCACCAGCGUUUUUGCACCGCGCCUCAUAAUCCGUAUGAACAUACUGUAUAAACUAUGUAGGUGAGAACGGGGUGCUAUAAUUUAUCAAUACAAUGAUCAGGUCCUUUUUGUAAAAUAAUUAAUGAACUGUUUGUCAUGACAUGAAAUACAAUUUUUCUGAAGAGUUUUCUGAAUCUGCUUUUUUGAUAUACAGAAUAUUAUUUUACAGGACAAACAUUUCCUGAAGAAUUAAAUGUUCAGACGAAGGCUGUGAUAUUUGUAAAAAAACAGAAUAAUGAUUUAACAAUAGCACGUUCUGUCUUUAAGCUUUUUGGGCGUUAUCUAGACUAUAGAUGUUGAUAAGAGUAUUAAAUACUUGACAAAUCUCCCUUUAAGCUCCAUUUUGAACAGAUAAAAAAUGUGUGAUUAAUUUGCGAUUAACUAUAGACAAUCGUGAUUAAUCGCAAUUAAAUUUUCCGAUUGAUUGACAGCCCUAAUUACAACGAAUGGAAAACUUUGAUGGUGAGUUGUGCAUAAGCCAUGUGCAAAACGUUCCUCAUUAACAAUAGGAGUCCUUGGACUGAAGUGACAUCAUCCCCAAAGCUGACACACUUUAUGAAUGCGAUCCGUCGUCUGGUUUCUCCUCCCAACUGGGUCACCUUUGUUUAGGUGAAAGUGAUGAGUCACUGCCUGUCCUCAAUAGUCCUCUAAUGAUGUUAUCUAACUCACCUUUACUGCUGUUCUUCUGGCAGUAGCUCAGAUGAAGAAGACAUGUUACUGUGUGAGAGAGAGAGAGACACGUUGAAAAUUACACCGUCUCUCUGUGCCGGAUCAUGGAUCUGUUGUCUAAUUGUGGUGGUGGCUUUCUGUCAACGUCUCCAAGAUUAGCUCUGAUGGGUCAGCAGUAGUGCACCGAUAAACUUAGAUUACUUCGGCUCGUGUGAUCAUCAGAGGAAGGAAAAACUCUUUGAACAGCUUCCUCUGAUUUCCUGAUUUGUGACAUACCAGGCGGUGAGCCGUUCAUCCAUGAAACGGCUCCCAUGAUUGUGGACGGAUCUCAAAGAGCAGAUGCUCAAAGAGAUGCGGCGUCUGUCAAAAUAAUGCUAAUCUGCUGCACACAUUUAUUUGUUGACAACCUCUGUGAAUGCUGACAUCAUGCAGCACCUCCCUCUCCGUCCACAGAACCAAGUCUUUUCAACCCCGGUUCCGUUUGAUCCAAUGGAAAUAAGAAACGGCGUGUUGUAUCCAGGCAACAAGUUCGUUGCCAGGUGACAGAUACAGAGGUCCUGAGACCAGAGACUGCGUGCAACAAUUCCACAUGAAUAAGACAAGACAGAACAUCAGUCACCUCCUGCAACUCACACAUUUCUUUGAUCACUCUUUUACCAUUAAAGCAAAGUCUGUCAUAUGAACAUCUUCGUCAGCGGUGACAAAUGCAAUAAAACCGUGCACGUGAGCAGAUGAAGCGACAGUAAAACUCAAUUGCAGGAAACUGAUCUCCGCACCUUUCCCAAACCUUUAUCAGCUUUGCCUAAUUGCCGCGUGGAAUCAUGAUAUACACACUGGCGGCUUAUCAGAGGAGACAUAUCCUCCAGCAAAUAUAAAACACCAGCCCUAAGUGGUUUCUGCCAGAAAUGCUGGGCCUUUCAUGUGGCAGCCAUGAGCAGAGAUAAUGAUCAUUUCCAGGGCGCUUCAGCUGACAAAUCCACCACCACCACCACCAUUAAAGGCUUUCAUUCUACCCCCGGAGCUGUGUGGGGCGACUCUAUACUUUUACUUUGAUUUAGAUGCAGCUGCUUUAGCGGGCGGGGGGCAUUUGUUUACUGAGGUCUUUUGAGCUCGAGUAAAAACUCACAUUUGUAAAGCAAAUGUUGGAUGGUAAACUGUGUGCUAGUUUACUGUUCCUGGUGUACAUGGAACAUUAAAGGAAACAUGUCAUGGAAUAACACAUUUUUUCAGUGUGUUCAUGCAUUUGGGUAUGCGGGGUUCCUACCAACGCACAAACUGUGAAAUAAGACAACCCAGUCCG